rnacentral:tRNA from 1 species
GUUAAGCUAGCAAAAAUAAUGUGUUUGAUUUAGGAUCAAAAGGUAGAAGUAGGCUUCUGUUUAAU